rnacentral:sRNA from 1 species
GGCCAGUACAAGUAAUACCACAACCAGUUACAGACUUUUUGUUCCUUCUCCAUUCCUACUGUUUCACUUGACUAGCCUUAA